UACGAAGGGGGCUAGCGUUGCUCGGAAUACUGGGCGUAAAGCGUGCGCAGGCGGUUAUGCAAGACAGAUGUGAAAUCCCCGGGCUCAACCUGGGAACUGCAUUUGUGACUGCAUGGCUGGAGUGCGGCAGAGGGGGAUGGAAUUCCGCGUGUAGCAGUGAAAUGCGUAGAUAUGCGGAGGAACACCGAUGGCGAAGGCAGUCCCCUGGGCCUGUACUGACGCUCAUGCACGAAAGCGUGGGGAGCAAACAGG
rnacentral:rRNA from 1 species